UGCUUGUGAUCCAUGCCACUGUCAUAGAUGAAGUGAGGUAAAUUACAUUCGCAUUGUGACCUAGUUUGCUAUGUACAUGUAUCUGGUAUAAUAAGCACUAUGAUAUCACAGCCAUCUGUCUGAUCAAUGAGACAUCUACUAAGUGACCAAUGUGCAGGUUUCCAAUGCCUGGGGAAGAGGCUGAGUCCACAGUCAAAGGCUGGUGAAUAGCCACAGGCUUAGAUGUUGGCAAGGUUUCACGGUUUUGCUGUCUCCACAAAAAGAGCACCACCACCAACAAAAACCCUAUUCUUGAAAAACCACCUAUAGAGAGACAUGUUACAAAGAAGAAGUCCUGCAGUGCUUUACCA
rnacentral:lncRNA from 1 species